AAGUCGUAACAAGGUUUCCGUAGGUGAACCUGCGGAAGGAUCAUCAGGAUAGUGAUUAAACAACAUCUUGUUUAAACCAAUCCAAUCCAACCAACCACUAUACUAUGAGUUUUUUUUUGUUUUUUAAAAUGGAACAAAAAAGCAAAAGCUCGUUUAUAUGAAUAUUUAUAAAGAGGUUAUAUGGUUUGUUAUAUUAUUAUUAUUAUGACAACAAAUAGACCUUUAGCGGGAAUGAACCUGCAAAACUAUAAGACGGGAUUGAUCCCGUCUAACUCUCGCACAACAGUGCAACCAAAUUUGAUGAACAGGGACACUGACGGGGUAAUAUCCGUCAAAAUGUAUAAAACUUUCGGCAAUGGAUCUCUCGGCUCUCC
rnacentral:misc_RNA from 1 species